GAUGAUGCCAGAUAGUUGAUAGUUCAACUUGAUUCCUACAUAGGAGCUGAAUUCCACCUGCUAUCUGAAAAAUGGAAUUUCAAGAGACUGAAGCUAGAUCAGAGUCUGACUUCUUUCCUCGCCUGGAACACUUGGGUGCUCUAAGUCCUGGAUAUAUAGUGGUUUUUCUGUUAUGAUAAGGCUUAUGUUGAAAUUGAGAAGCUCUGACAUACGUAUGAAUCUGAAAACUCAGCUUGGUGACUUCAUGGCUAGCCACUAAGAUUAAGGGUAAAUGAUUCUUCAGAUUAAAGAUGGACACUGACUUCUCACCAGAAAUGGUUUAUAGAAUCAACUUGCAAAAUUGUAAAGAGGCAGCAAAAGAAAGAGUGAAAUAUUUUCUUACCCCACGAAAGCAGGAUAACUUGCUUAUCCCUAAACACUGGCCCAGAAUAGAUACUCAAAAAAUAAAAAUAAAAAAUUGAAGUUAAUUGAAAUUUC